rnacentral:lncRNA from 1 species
AUGUUUGAAAAAGAGGGCAAAAUAAAUUUAGAUCAUAAGCCAAUUUCCAGCCUGUUUCAAUUUAUGCCAGAGUAUUUCCUAUGGAAUUCAAAAAAAAAGAGGCUGGUUUGUAAUUAUUCCAAUCCACAUUUCUGCUCUUUUAAGCAUCUCAGCUUUUGCUACCUCAAUGUGAUACAGAAGCGGGGAAGUCCUUUAAGUACUCACUGGGAGAGUUGGCAACGCUCAUGGCAGAAUCACAGUACAAGAGGAGACAACAUUACCAAACGAGUCUGGAAACCUCCAGAGUCACUAACGGUUGUCUACAGGGAGUCUCUGUCUAGGUGUGGCUCAUCCAUUGGUAGCCUCCUCCUUCAAUAAUUUUUCCAAAGAUUCAUUUUCCGUGUCAGAAUUCUCACCUGGCUUCUGACUACAAUAAAUAUCUCACAAAAAAUAGUUGGUAACA